ensembl:lncRNA
AUUCAGAGGCAGGUUCAACAUGAAGUUUAAAGCAGUUUAUGCCACUUGGCCAGGCUUGGGUGUAGUUCUGCAUGGUUGAGAAGAAGAGUUAUCACUCGUCUGACCCUCAUCCAAGGUUUACGUAAUGAUUUCCAGAGCUGCAAACAUUCCAACCCAAAAUGUGGAUUGAAUAUGGAAAAAGCAAGAUGAGGUCCAAAGUUAAGUGCUUAAAAGAAAAACACCAGACUUCCUCAUGUGUAGCAGCAUGACCUGUGUUUCCUGUUCGGCAUUGUCAAAUAAGGAGAUCUGCUCUUUCUUAUGCUCACGUCUUCUUCUAGAUGAUGUAUUAGGGUUGUAUAACUUGCUUGUUUGAAUUACCAUUCCUUCCUCCAAUCACUUACAAGUACACAGGGACUGAUGCUCAGUUUUUGGGCAUUAUUCUUCUGCCUUAAUCUUUGUUUAGCUCUUUGAUCCACACAUUUUAGUGGAUAUUUGUCAUUGCAUUGCUUGCUGGUGUGUUAUUUGUUACUGGAACCUAGGGUGGUGCUUUAUGUGGAAAUACAACAGUGUGAAGGAUGUAUUGGCCACAAGGCCAUGCUGUCUCUGUCGCUCUCUUUAGAUCUCUGUGUACAAUACAUGCUGCAGCUUGGUUCUCAUUCUUCUCACAUCUCUGCUAGGACCAGCAAUUAACACCACAACUCAGGGCCACCAAGAAAUAAAUGGCCGUGCCUUGUUUUCGUACCUUAAGUUUUUCCUUUUUAACGUGUUUACUAGUGUUGUCACAAAGAGAAAGAGAGCAAGUGGAAGACUUGCUUAGUUCGAUCUUCUGUUCUUAUUCUCCUGAAGGCUAAAUGUCAGAUACUGAACAUGUAUAGUAUGUAAGCAAUAUACUGUAAGAUCCAGUACUCCACUGUAGGCUGGUUUCAUGAGAACUGUCGAACCAACUAGCAUAGUAAGCAUACCAAC